rnacentral:rRNA from 1 species
GAUGAACGCUGGCAGCAUGCUUAACACAUGCAAGUCAACCGGAAUUUGGGUUUUUACCUUUGGUUUGGGUGGCGGACGGGUGAGUAACGCGUAAAGAACUUGCCUCACAGCUAGGGUCAACAUUUGGAAACGAAUGCUAAUACCUAAUAUUAUGAUAAUAGGACAUCCUAUAUUUAUGAAAGCUAUAAGCGCUGUUAGAGAGCGUUGCGUCCAAUUAGCUAGUUGGCAAGGUAACGGCUCACCAAGGCGACGAUGGGUAGCCGGCCUGGGAGGGUGAUCGGCCACAAGGGGACAGGGGAACGGCCCGUAGGCAAUCUGGAGGCAGGGGUGAAGAAUAGUGGAAGAUGGGCCAAGAGUGUGAUGAAGCAAUUCUGUGUGCAAGAUGAUGUUUUUCGGAAUGAAAAGUGGUUUCAGUUGGGAAGAAAGUAAUGACGGUACCAACAGAAGAAGCGACGGCUAACUACGUG